GCAACAGAUUGAGAAGGAGGGAGAAGUCUCCAUUUUCUGGUUCUCUUACCAAAUAGUCCCAACAGUCAGGGCUGGGCCAAAUCAAGCCAGGAGCCAAGAACACCAUCUGGGUAUUCCACAUGGACAGCAGGAACCCAAGCACUUGUGCAAUAUUUUGCUGCUUUCAACGGCACAUUAGCAGAGAGAGGGAUUGGAAGCAGAGCAGCCAGGACUCUAACAAACACUCCGAUGUGAGAUGCUGGUGUCAUAAUUGGCACUGUGACCCACUAUACCACAAACCAGCCCCAAUAUUUGUUCUCCAUUUAAAAUAACUAUAGACAACUUAGAGGAUAUGAAGCAAUUUAUCAUUGUGGCUUUGGUUUGGGCUUCCCUAAUGUUGUUGAACAUCUGUUCAUAUGCUUUCAGUCAUUUGUGUAUUUUCUUUUUAAAAUUGGAUUAUUUAUCUUUUAAAUGCGGGAUUGUAAGUGCUCACUAUAUGUAUUGAAUAUUAUCCCUUUAUCAGAUACGUAAUUGGCAAAUAUUUUAUCCUGUUCUGUGAGUUGUCUUUCCACUUUCUUGUUGGUAUUCUGCAACGUUCACAGGUUUUUAACUUUGUAUGAGAAAACUUAAAAACAAAUAUGCUUUAGUAGGACCAGGAAAAAAGAUCCAAGAUGGCUGAAUGGAGAGAAGACACACUGGUCUCAGCCACAGAAAGAUUCCAGAAAAACAGAGGAAGAACCUUGUUCUAAGGGGACUGCUUAAAUGAAGUUUUCAGUGGAGAAGAGACACAACAGAACAAAGACUCCAUGGAGGACUGGGAAGACAGGUCAUAUUGCCAGUGGUCACUCCUGCAUCUACAUGGCCCGACCCUGGCUGGGCAGCACCAUCUUCCCAGAAGCAAACACUUGGUGGCUGCUUGAGAUACAUGGAUAUCAUUCUAAUUCUGUCGAUAUUGCCUGAUCAUGUAUAAUGAUGAGGACAGGAAGAAAAAAAAUUAUAAUCAUGGAACAAUUGGUAAAACGAGGUCUCAAAGGAUCCCACAGGUAAAUAUUUUUAAACCUCAGGGGGCUGGUUGCUAUCCCAUUGUUUGUUCACUUUUUAAAUAGCAUAGAGAAGAAAGUAAAUGUUCAUGUUAGGGAUAGUAUAGUCUUGAUGUAAACCUGAAAUAACACGAACUUUAAUUUGCAUGAAAUCACAUAUACCGCUGCCACCACAAAAUGUUUAAAACUGUAGGAUAGUUUUAAGUAGACAAUUCAUCAUUCACUAAAAACUGAUGUGGCACCAGAAGAUGGAGUCUAUCUAUAGAAUACAGUGGUAUUUUAAUAUUAGAAGUUAUGUUAGGGGCUGGUGUUGUGCUGGAACAGGUAAAACCUCCACCUGAGACAUCAGCAUUCUAUAUGGGAACAGGUUUGUGUCCCUGUUGCUCCACUUCUGAUCCAUCUGCCUGUUGAUGGCCUAGGAAAGCAGCAGAACAAGGCCCGAACGUCGUGGUCCUUACACCUACAUGGGACGCCUAGAUUAAUCUUCUGGCUUCUGCCUGGCCUGGUGCUGGCUGUUGGGGCCAUCUGGGGAGUGAACCAGUGGUUAGAAGAUCUCCUCUCUCUAUUUUUCUCUCUCUCUGCAACACUUUCAGAAUAAAUACAUGAAUAGGUGUUUUAAAUUAUGCUAA
ensembl:lncRNA